CUCCUGGUGGCCAAGCUGGUUAAGGCGCGAGACUGUAAUGUUUCACUUUGUGGAAAACAAAGUAAUCUUGAGAUCGGGUGUUCGACUCACCCCCAGGAGA